AUGCCAGACUCUGCAAGUUCAAGUCAGUUACUCCCAAGCCACCAAGACACCUUAGCCUGCAGACUUUGCGCCAAGCCACCGAACAUUUCCCACCAUGAAUAUCGUCAGACCCUGCAGCCCUUAUCCACACGCUCAAGAGCCCACUUUGCAGCCCCAGCCACCAAAGCUUUUUUCCAUCAAAAAAAGGAUUUGUUUCAAUUGCGUAUCAUAAGGACAUAUUUAGUCGGUGUCCAAGAACUCAAGAUCAAGAGGAUGAUCAUUAUCCAGGGGGUCAGUCCAAGAACUCAAGAUCAAGAGGAUGAUCAUUUUAGUAGCCGAAAACAAACAGGAACAGCCAUGCAAAAAUGCACUCGAGAUCAUCGUCAGACUACAAUCAUUUAA
rnacentral:rRNA from 1 species